GGGUGAAAACACGUGGGUAACCUGCCUGUAAGACUGGGAUAACUCCGGGAAACCGGAGCUAAUACCGGAUAGUUCCUUGAACCGCAUGGUUCAAGGAUGAAAGACGGUUUCGGCUGUCACUUACAGAUGGACCCGCGGCGCAUUAGCUAGUUGGUGGGGUAAUGGCUCACCAAGGCGACGAUGCGUAGCCGACCUGAGAGGGUGAUCGGCCACACUGGGACUGAGACACGGCCCAGACUCCUACGGGAGGCAGCAGUAGGGAAUCUUCCGCAAUGGACGAAAGUCUGACGGAGCAACGCCGCGUGAGUGAUGAAGGUUUUCGGAUCGUAAAGCUCUGUUGUUAGGGAAGAACAAGUGCGAGAGUAACUGCUCGCACCUUGACGGUACCUAACCAGAAAGCCACGGCUAACUACGUGCCAGCAGCCGCGGUAAUACGUAGGUGGCAAGCGUUGUCCGGAAUUAUUGGGCGUAAAGGGCUCGCAGGCGGUUUCUUAAGUCUGAUGUGAAAGCCCCCGGCUCAACCGGGGAGGGUCAUUGGAAACUGGGAAACUUGAGUGCAGAAGAGGAGAGUGGAAUUCCACGUGUAGCGGUGAAAUGCGUAGAGAUGUGGAGGAACACCAGUGGCGAAGGCGACUCUCUGGUCUGUAACUGACGCUGAGGAGCGAAAGCGUGGGGAGCGAACAGGAUUAGAUACCCUGGU
rnacentral:rRNA from 1 species